rnacentral:tRNA from 1 species
GGAGAGAUGCCGGAGUGGUUGAACGGGACGGUCUCGAAAACCGUUAAGGGAGCAUAAUCCCUUCCAGGGUUCAAAUCCCUGUCUCUCCA